UACAGAGGUCUCAAGCGUUGUUCGGAUUCAUUGGGCGUAAAGGGUGCGUAGGUGGUGAUGCAAGUCUGGUGUGAAAUCUCGGAGCUCAACUCCGAAAUUGCACCGGAUACUGCGUGACUCGAGGACUGUAGAGGAGAUCGGAAUUCACGGUGUAAGCAGUGAAAUGCGUAGAUAUCGUGAGGAAGACCAGUUGCGAAGGCGGAUCUCUGGGACAGUUCCUGA
rnacentral:rRNA from 1 species